AACGCUGGCGGCGUGCUUAACNCAUGCAAGUCGAACGAUGAUCCCAGCUUGCUGGGGGAUUAGUGGCGAACGGGUGAGUAACACGUGAGUAACCUGCCCUUGACUCUGGGAUAAGCCUGGGAAACUGGGUCUAAUACCGGAUAUGACUGUCUGACGCAUGUCAGGUGGUGGAAAGCUUUUGUGGUUUUGGAUGGACUCGCGGCCUAUCAGCUUGUUGGUGGGGUAAUGGCCUACCAAGGCGACGACGGGUAGCCGGCCUGAGAGGGUGACCGGCCACACUGGGACUGAGACACGGCCCAGACUCCUACGGGAGGCAGCAGUGGGGAAUAUUGCACAAUGGGCGCAAGCCUGAUGCAGCGACGCCGCGUGAGGGAUGACGGCCUUCGGGUUGUAAACCUCUUUCAGUAGGGAAGAAGCGAAAGUGACGGUACCUGCAGAAGAAGCGCCGGCUAACUACGUGCCAGCAGCCGCGGUAAUACGUAGGGCGCAAGCGUUAUCCGGAAUUAUUGGGCGUAAAGAGCUCGUANGCGGUUUGUCGCGUCUGCUGUGAAAGACCGGGGCUCAACUCCGGUUCUGCAGUGGGUAC
rnacentral:rRNA from 1 species